UACGAAGGGGGCUAGCGUUGUUCGGAUUUACUGGGCGUAAAGCGCACGUAGGCGGCUCGUUAAGUCAGGGGUGAAAUCCUGGGGCUCAACCCCAGAACUGCCUUUGAUACUGGCGAUCUCGAGUCCGGAAGAGGUGAGUGGAACUCCUAGUGUAGAGGUGGAAUUCGUAGAUAUUAGGAAGAACACCAGUGGCGAAGGCGGCUCACUGGUCCGGUACUGACGCUGAGGUGCGAAAGCGUGGGGAGCAAACAGG
rnacentral:rRNA from 1 species